rnacentral:rRNA from 1 species
UACGUAGGGUGCGGAGCGUUGUCCGGAAUUAUUGGGCGUAAAGGGCUCGUAGGCGGUUUGUCGCGUCGGGAGUGAAAUCCAGGGCUUAAACUCUGGACUGGCUUUCGAUACGGGCAGACUAGAGGUAUGCAGGGGAGAACGGAAUUCCUGGUGUAGCGGUGAAAUGCGCAGAUAAUCAGGAGGAACACCGGUGGCGAAGGCGGUCUCUGGGCAUUACCUGACGCUGAGGAGCGAAAGUGUGGGGAGCGAACAGG